rnacentral:rRNA from 1 species
GAUGAACGCUAGCUACAGGCUUAACACAUGCAAGUCGAGGGGUAACGAGAGGAAAGCUUGCUUUCCUUGUCGACGACCGGCGCACGGGUGAGUACCGCGUAUCCAACCUGCCCCCAACUAGGGAAUAACCUUGCGAAAGUAAGACUAAUACCCUAUAAUUUCCUCAGAUGACAUCUGACGAGGAAUAAAGAUUUAUCGGUUGUGGAUGGGGAUGCGUCUGAUUAGCUUGUUGGCGGGGUAACGGCCCACCAAGGCAACGAUCAGUAGGGGUUCUAGGAGGAAGGUCCCCCACAUUGGAACUGAGGACCAGGCCAAACUACUAGGGGAGGCAGCAGGGAGGAAUAUUGGUCAAUGGGCGGAAGCCUGAACCAGCCAAGUAGCGUGCAGGAUGACCGCCCUAUGGGUUGUAAACUGCUUUUAUACAGGAAUAAAGUUAGCCACGUGUGGUUAUUUGUAGGUACUGUAUGAAUAAGGACCGGCUAAUUCCGUGCCAGCCGCCGCCGUAA